rnacentral:rRNA from 1 species
CACGUAGGGGCGAGCGUUGUCCGGAAUUACUGGGCGUAAAGGGCGCGCAGGCUGUUAUGCGAGUCUGCUGUGAAAUGUACCGGCUCAACCGGUGCCUUGCGGCGGAUACUGCAUAGCUGGAGUACUGGAGAGGGAAGUGGAAUUCCCGGUGUAGCGGUGAAAUGCGUAGAUAUCAGGAGGAACACCGGCGGCGAAGGCGGCUUGCUGGACGGCAACUGACGUUGAGGCUCGAAAGCGUGGGGAGCAAACAGGAUUAGAUA